rnacentral:rRNA from 1 species
UACGUAGGGUGCGAGCGUUAAUCGGAAUUACUGGGCGUAAAGCGUGCGCAGGCGGUUCGUUGUGUCGGUGGUGAAAGCCCCGGGCUUAACCUGGGAAUGGCCAUGGAAACUGGCGAACUGGAGUGUGGCAGAGGGGGGUGGAAUUCCGCGUGUAGCAGUGAAAUGCGUAGAGAUCGACCGGAACACCGGUGGCGAAGGCGGGUCUCUGGACAGUUCCUGACGCUCAGGCACGAAAGCCAGGGGAGCAAACGGG